UAUAUUUUUUGUGAUUUCAAUUCAUAGGGAUGGGAAAUACAUUUGAUAUGUAUCCAAUGCAAGACCUUAACAUAAAUGACAGGAAAUAUACCUGAGUUCAACUGAACAACACUGAAAAUUUUAAGCCACCGAAUGCCUGUGGUUCUUCAUCUAGGACUGGGACCUAGUGAGACUUUUCUCCAUCCAUGCUGGCAUGCCCAUCAUUUGGUUUUUGCAAGUCUUCAGUGCCACAGAAAAGAAUCAGGGUCAUUUGUGGUGUAUGAAGAACUCUACAGGAAAGGUGAAAAGCAUGGCUGCCAAUGUUGAAAGAACUUUUUAUCUAUGGGAAGUUUAUAUAAGGACAGAGUGAUGACUCAGAGGUAAGAAGCCCUGGCCAUUUUUUCCAGUGGACACAAGCUGAUUCUCAGCACUCGUAUGGUGGUUUAUAAGUACACAUAUCUCCAGUUUUUCUGGAUCCAACACCCUCUUCUGGCUGUCAUGGGCACCAGGUUCAUACUUGGUGCCUGUACAUACAUCCAGGCAAACACACAGUACAAAAGUUAAAAUAAAUCUAAAUCUACCAAGAGAAUCAUGAAAAUAUGAAUUUACAUUUAUGUAUCUCUGAAUAUAUACAUUAAUGUAAACACAAAGGUUUUUAAGCAUCCAAAUUUUCUUUAUUAUGAUUGCUUUUAAAUUUAUCAUCAAUCACUUAUAUUUCAGACAUGUAAAAUAAUUUAAAAUAAAAUAUUAAAACAAUUACUCAUGGGACACAUGUGUAAAACACAAGUUAACACUAAUAAUGUUUGAUAUUAAGGCCUUUUUGCUUCACAAAAUUCUCUUCAUAUGUGACUGUAAUUGUAGAACAUAUGCUGUGCUUUCUCUUACUGCAGAAAUAAUUAAAAAGGAAAGGCAAGAGAUUGGAAUGAAUGUUCUCAGUGACCAUUCUUUACUACAUCCCAACCACAAUAGUAUCACCGACAGUCUAUCUAUACACCGAGAACUACAUUUACUAUCCUUGAUCACGCUUACAAGAAAGCAUAUUCAAAACCAAGGUCACACUGGUUUGCUUAUUGAAGGAUCCUAAUUAAAAUAUUAGCAUGUGUAAAGCAACUUUUUAGACAGUGUGUGAAUAUUGUGAGGAUGUUUAAGACAAGUUUUGCAGAAUCCAGGGUUUUCAUCUGCAAACAUAAAUAUGCCAGGAAGUAGAACACGCUUUGUGCUACAGAUGGCAAAUGAUUUUGAAGUUCAGAGACACUGAAUAUCACCAAUGACGCCAUCUAUGAGGGUCAUCCUCCUAAAAAAUGUGGGAAAAGCACGCUCUCAAUACUUUUAUUUCUUUUAAAAAAUAACAUAUACUAUGGGAAGGUAGAGAUCAAAAAUAAAAAAUACUAUUUUAGAUGUGCACUUAUGUUUUUAUAUUAUUUUGCAGUAAAAAUUUCUGACAAUUUUCUAGAAAGAAUUUAUUAUGCUAUACUGACACACAAAAUGUACAUAAUGCAUAUUAGCAGUUUCAUUGAAGAUUCCAUUCAUGGUGAUUUGUCGGCAUUUUUCUCUGGCUCUUCUAAGUGGUGGCCAUAAACACCCAGAGAGUUAUCCACUAGAAUUAUUGCUUGCUUUCUCCCUGGAGACCAAGAAAGAGAAUGAAAAUGCAAGGACACUUUCUGCAGUGUAACUUGUGAAUACAUAUGGAAUUGUGAAGAAAUGUCUGUUCAACAAUCAGUUCUGACUAUGGAUGAUGGCCUGUGCUCAAAAAGCCUUAAACGUUGCUUGCAGUUUUACUGUUGCCAUGGUAAUAUUCUUAUUUUUGUGUAAAACCCUCUGCAUUUUUAAUAUUAAUGAGGAACACAAACUAUACGUUUUUGAUUGAUCACUUUAAAACUGUAUUUUGUCUUUAUGUGUUUUAUCCUUUCUUCUCAUCUCUGCAAAGUCUUCCUCUUUCUCUUGCCUCUAUUUAUCUCAAUUUCCUUCCAUAUGUCUAUGUGUCUAUCUGCUUGUUGUCUGUCUCCACUGCUAGACUGCUAUGCCAGACACUCCAAAGGCAAGGGAUAAUUGCUUAUACAUGACAUGCUUUAUCACGAGACAGCCUAGGUCACAUAUUUACCUGCAGUUUCAACAAGCUGAUUAUACAUUUCAAGAAAAUAACUGCUAUCUUAAAAUAUUACGGCUAGGACUGAAGUCUCAAAAAACGUUGAAAAAAUGGCCUUGUUAGCACGUUUAAAAAUUUACCAAUCUGGAACAAGACCUGGUCCCACUGCUAGCCUCGAACCCCCUCACAACAGAUCAAGUCACAUGAGUGUCACUCACAUUCAAAGGACCUGGUUUGGAAGAGUGGUUUGGGGUGGGAAGGGAAGAGGUGGAGUACAGGAGAAGAGAGUUAGGGGGAUAUUAUGUCACUUUCAGUUAUGGCUAUGAUCAAGUUUUUUUUUUCCAAAUUGACUUUAAAUUGUUUUCCUAUUUCUGUUUUUAUGUCUUUUUAUGGUUUGGAGUCAGACUGAUUUGAAAUGACUAGCUGCAGGAUGCUAGCUUACAGCUUGUAAGUUCAUGUGGUCCAUGCAAUAAUUUUGGUGAUAGCAAGGUAGAAGAAAAGACUAUUGUUUGAUAACAAUAAAUGAGAACAGAAAUGAGCAUAAAGAUAGAGAGUGAAAAAAUGAAGCCAGAUAAACAUAUUGUAUCAAAUCUAAUAAGAAAUACAUAUUUUAUCAGUCAUAUUAAUCUCAGUGGGCAUUUCCCCCCUUUGUUUUUUCCUCUUUGCCUUCCUUGUUUUUUCUUCUCUUACUUCUCUUUUAUAUCACUUAAAACAUUUAUUUACUAUUUCCUUUGUGCAAUGAAUUUAACUGUUUACACAAAUAUGCUUCCUUUGUUUUUGAUUGUUGGUUUCUGUUCUUUAAAAACGUAUGGAGGAACCCUGGAAGCUGGAAAAUCCAUUGCUAUAUGUCACCAUGAUCACAUAAUUAGAAUUCUUUAUUUUAUGUGUGUGAAUAUGUUGCCUACAUGUUUAUAUAUGCACUACAUGCAUGCCUGGUGACCAUGUAAGUCAAAAGAGGGUGUAAGAUCCCCUGGAACUGAAGUUAUGAUGGCGGGAAUGUGAAUGCUGGGAAUCAAACAUAGGGCCUCUGGAAGGGCAACAAAUGCUCUUAAUGGCUCAGUGUUUCCUGCAGUCUCUUGUAUUAUUGCAAGCCUCCUGAGGAAGACGAAAAGGGGAUUUCAAGAUUCUGUAUUGGCCAGUUCGGAGUUGAGAGGAGAUGAGGAUAAAAUUACAGAAGGAAGGGUACAAAAUUUUCAAAAACAGCUCCUUGAUAAAUCAUGGUGCUUGGGGAAAAACACAGAACAAAACUGCUUUGAGCUGUUCUGCGUUUGACCUUCCCUGCUUGAAAGCUUCUUUGAACCCCACACCGAGCAGCUUCCAUAUUAUUCUGUAUAUAUUUGCAGACUACUGAGCGCUGUUGUAACAAUCCACUUUGAAGUCACUCUCAGUGGCUCACCAACUGAUGAAAGAAAGUCCUGUAGUCAUUCUUAGUGGGUCUGGGACAUGGGAAAGCAAAGAGGAAUCCUGGGAAAUGGGACUGAACAGGUCUUCAAAGGGCCUUUUCUCCCCCUGUUAAAAUGUUCUUUCUCAGUUACCCACUGCUCAGUAAAGAGUUCUGAUCCUCAAGCAUUUUAUUUGGAACAACAUGAAUGGUUUUACUCUGAAUAGUCACAAGGCAAAUGACAGGUUAUAUUUAAUUUUUUAUAUUUUUAUUUACAUAAGCCUUAGUGAUAUCCCUGCUUGCUGUAUAAUUUGAUUUAUUUUGAGGCAUCAGAAGGAAUCCAUUGAAGUUGAACAUGGAAAUUGCCCAUUUGCACAGAAAAACAUCUAACACCAAGCAGAGUAGUGAAUAAUAUUCCAUUUGAAAAAAGACAUAAAGAACUUGAAGUAACUCGUGAACAUAUUUAUAUUCACAGAGUAUAUCCAAAUGCAAGAAUGCUACCUAAAGAAUAAUCAAGUACAAAAACAUGUUUGAAAAUGUUUCUCAUUAAUUUAUAUGACAAUCAUUUUUAAAAGUAGUAAUUAAUUUUAAUUCCUUAAGGCUUCUAAUGACAAAUACAGAAGUUUGUAUGACUAUGAGAUGGACCUGCAGAAUAUACAAAAUAUAAGCAGAAUUAUGAACUACUGUAUGGAUUUGUUGACUUCUCUCCCUCCUUUUCUCCCUUAAUUUUAUGUUUUGAAACAGGAUUGCAUAUAACCCAACCUGGCUUCAUACUUUAUAUGCAUUCCAGAAAAACCUUAAACUUCUAACCCCUUUGCUUUGACUUCCCAGUGAAUUCUUGAAUUGUAGGCAUGCAUCUCCACACCCACCAGUAUAUACUCUGCUGGGGAUUUGAACUCAGGACUUUGUGUGCUAGGUAAGCUCUUAGGGUUGCAGUUACAUGUUUAUCCCUUCACAUUUAAAAAAUAGUUUAUUUAUUUUUAUUUUACAUGCAUUGGUGUUUUGUCUGCAUAUAUGUCUUUAUAAAGGUGUCAGAACCCUUGGAGCUGGAGUUACAAAAAGUUGUAGACUGCUAUUUGGAUGCUCUUAAUUGAACCUGGGUCAUAAGGAAGAGCAGCCGGUGCUCUUAAUCACUGAACCAUCUGUUAAACCCCUCCCUAUCUUAAUGUAGUACUUUUUAAAAUAGUGUGGAGAGUUUGAUCCACUAGUUUGUUUUACAUUCAGAGUUCAGUCUGUGGUACAAUGCUUAUUUACUUAUUUUUUCUUUGAAUUAUAGGUCUUUUAUUUCAUUUUUGAUGUACAUAAAUAUACAGAAAUAUUGAAAAAUAUAUAGAUGCAUAUUUUUCUCCUCCCCCAAUUUUAAGACCCCGCCUACCUACCCACUCUAUGCUGUUACUAUCUCUUGCUGUAGAAAACAAACAAGAAUAAAAGAAAAUCAAAGGAAAGAGAAAGAACAAGAGCAAGAAGCACAACAUCUUGCACACACAUGGCCACAAACAAACACAUUGCAACAAAACACAUAUUGUAAACGAUGAUCUACAAGGAAAAGACCACUAGAACAAAACUAUGCCCAUACAAAGCAAGCUUUAUUAAAUAGAACAGAUGACUCCCAAUUCUGUUUCUGCCUGCCAAGCCUUAGUUUGAUCAAAUUAAGAGUGAAGAGGACAACAUCUCUUCCAUAUGGCAUGGAUUCUGAUUGCUUGAUUCUAGGUUUAGUGUUAAACCCCAGCAUGAGGAAAGACAGCCUGGGCGAGCUCCAGCUUUCUCAACUACAAAGGAAAAUAUUAACAACAGUAGCUGCUUCAGUCUCAGAGAAGUCUAAUGUGCUAGCAUGUGUAAAACGUAUCUUAGAUGAGUAUUUUAUAUGCAGUCAGUGCUAUUUGUGUGCUUUUUUUGGUCUGUUGCUAUACAUUUUUGUGAGCUUUUUAAAUAAAUUAAUGUUAAUUUCAUGAAUAAUACUUGUAAUACCCUGUCUCUUUUUAGAAUAAACAUGUAUCAAAUAGUUAAAGAAAAAAUGGUUUGUCAUUAAAUAAAUUUUCUUAACAUGGAUAAUAUUCUUCAAUUAUAUGACUAAAGUCUGCUAUUUUUUGCUUUUCUAAAGAGUUGCUAACCAAAAAGGAACCUAUAAUUAAUGAUAUGUGAUCAAGUUUAUGGCUAUUAUGUCAUCUCAAUGACUAUUAUAUGCUUGUGAAUAUAGUUUAAAAAUAAAAUUUAAAAGAACUUUUCUUCAUAGAUGUGGUGAAAAAUUAUGAUAAAGUAUUCAAGCAAAACUAAUAAGAUCCUUAAUUUUAUUAUAGCUUUCUUAGUCAUAUUAGCCUAAUUUGUGCUAUAAUUAGUUUAAUUUGUGCCAUUAUUAGAGCACUGAUAGAUAAUUUAAACCACUUUUAAAUAAAAUUGAGAACAGGGACUAAGUGUCUAGUUCCAUAGUGGAAUGUAUGCUUAGCAUGUGCCAGACUGUAGGUUCAUGUUUUCAUAUUCCUCUCCCUAAACAAGGGAAAUAUGUUGAUAUUUUUUAUAAUAAUGAGAACUGCUUGCCAAAUUUUUAUUUAAAUUCAUGCAUCUGUAUUUGACUAAUGUUUAUCCAAAUACUUAGUUCCAGGAAUAAAAAUAGUGCUAAAUGUAAGUUCAAGAUUUAAGUAUUUUGAAUGGGACAAAUACACAAAAGAAUACAAAAUUAUGUAAAGCAAGCACAGGAAUGAUGGAAGAAAGCCCAAUGAGAUUACAAGAGGAGACUCCAUAUGUUUGAAGAUGAGGGGGAAGAAUAAAGCACCAUUGAGGUACCACUUGAGGGAUUGCCAGGAUGGGGAUGGAGAAUGAAUGAUGCUAUGCCAGUGAGCAAGAACAGUUUUGGGUAUAACAAUUGCCCUGUGUGUGAAUAUUAGGAGGAUAUAGUUGGAAACAUAUCAGGACUCCUUUUACUGUAAAAUAUUUUCAGUAAUCUCCCCACACAGUUUUUUCCUUCUUAGCUUCUCAACUAUAAAAGACUAUAAAAUGACUAUUUUAGGUUCUCCUUCAAGAUCCAUGACUUACCUAGCCCUGGGAAGCUGACUAGGUUUCCUGUAACAGGAAUAGUUUUCCUCUUGUUGAAUGAAUUUUAAGUUCAAUCAGGGAGCUGUUAGUUAUUAUCAAGGUCUGUGUACCACUACUGCAUUUGUAGAAUUAUUAUUCCAUGCUAGGCAAUUUAGGGGUUCAUUAGAUGGGUGGUACUGCUGAUUGCUUCCUUUCUUAGUAAGCUUGCCUUGUACCUUCAGGUGCCUUAAAGCCAGUUUUCAGAGAGGAGGCAUUUAGGUAAAUUCCUGCUCAGGAGCCUCUGCGUCCUGCAUCUAAGUUACAUGAUAUCUUCAGUAGUAGGAACUUGCCUUGUACCUCUGACGACCAACUAAGGGCAGUAGUAACAUGCUGUAAUGUUUGACAGUUUGUUGAACAACAAUCAUUAACUAAUUCUAAGUAUUUGUUCUUAUACCCACAGGUAAUUAUAGUCUUCAACCCUCAUCGAGGAAAAUUCUGUUUGCUACUGAUGGAAACACUGCAGAUCAGAGCUAAUCAAAAUCCAGAGUAGUGGAGCCCAAUACCAAAGAUACAUUUACAAAAAAAACCUCCCAUACCUAAGGUUCAGGGAACAUUGCAGAAGCAGGGCAGACAAAUUGUAAGAACGGAGAAUCAGGAAGCUUGUUGUGAGAUUACAUCUGCUAGUAAACCAGAAGCUACCCCUAUAAAGUCUCACCAACAUGACUUCUUAAACAUGACCUGAACAAAGCCAACAACAAUAGGCAUGCCAAAGUGGAUAUAAGAAAGCCCAUGAGGCCUCAACCCAACAUGAAGAAUGACAGGCAACUGAGGAAUACUGAAAAUGGAAAAAAUCUCCUAGUAUUCCCCAGGGAAGAACACACCAAAAAAGUUAUACAAUACAAAAUAAUCAGUCUUCAAAACAUAUAUACAAGUAACAUUAAAUAGAAUGAGCAGGUUAUGUGUAAAGCAGACUAAAAUCUGUAAACCACAAGGUGGUUAGGUAUAGAGUGACUAUGGGUUAGGGAAGAAUCUCUUGAGGAAGGAGAAACAGAACAAUAGAACAUAUAGCUAAAGAAAUAUGUAGGAUGCGUGUAGGAUGGGUUUUUACUGCAUUUUUAUUAGCUGAUUUUGAUUAUUUUUUGAGAAUAUGUUUACAUUAAUUUGGAGUAUGCUUAUGUUAUUUUAUAAAAUAUGUUCUUUGGUAAAUCACAUGUGUAUAUAAUGCAGUCUGAUCACACAUUGCCUGCAUUCACGGGUGUGAGAACAAUCUGUUAUCAUUUAUCAAUCAUUAUUUCUCUUCUGAGUUUAACUCCUUGGUUUGUAAGGUACUUGAAAUUUUCUGUGUAUUUUUCAAGAAUAUAAGUCUAUUAUACCUUU